AUGGUCGACGGAUUCCUGGUGCACGUCGAGCCUAACUCUAAUUCGAGUUGCUUUAGGGAGCUUACGCAUAAAGGGCUAACACUUUGGGAGAAUGGCAUGACGACUCACCAUCAGAUUGGUGAUGUGAUCAGACAGAUCAAGAACCAAGUUCAGGAUGUGGCCGACAUGCAAGAGAAUUAUAACUUCAAUGUCAACAAUGUUGUGGCUAAUGCAACUGCAAUAUCUGCCACUGACCUUGGGAUUUCAGCUAUGUAUGUAAAUAAAGAACGACUCAUUAGCAUCAAGGCGCCAAGAGAUGAGCUAAUAAGGCUAUUUGAGGAGGAUAGCGAUUAUACAAAGCUCAAGACAGUCUCUAUCGUUGGAAUGGGAGGACUGGGAAAGACUACACUUGCCAAGGCAGUGUGUGACAAGCUUAAAAAAGAUUACCAUCAUAGAGCUUUUAUUCCGGUGGGUCAGAAUCCUGAUGUGAAGAAAGUUUUGAAGGACAUUCUGUUGGAAUUAGGACACAGUUCAGCAAUCCUAGACUUGGAUGUGCGUCAGCUCAUCAACGAACUCAGAAAGGCCCAUGGCCCAUGGCCAGCGCAAUGGACUGUUGGUCGGGAAAGGCCCGUGGCAAGCCCAACAGAUUGUUGGUCGGAAAGAUAUGUUGGUCGGGAAACGGUUUUCCCGUCUGGUCUUUUCUCAGUAGACAGUGUCGGUCGGCAAUAG
rnacentral:rRNA from 1 species